GGCGAACGCUGGCGGCGUGCCUAAUACAUGCCAGUAGAACGCUGAAGGAGGAGCUUGCUUCUCUGGAUGAGUUGCGAACGGGUGAGUAACGCGUAGGUAACCUGCCUGGUAGCGGGGGAUAACUAUUGGAAACGAUAGCUAAUACCGCAUAAUAGUAGAUGUUGCAUGACAUUUGCUUAAAAGGUGCAAUUGCAUCACUACCAGAUGGACCUGCGUUGUAUUAGCUAGUUGGUGGGGUAACGGCUCACCAAGGCGACGAUACAUAGCCGACCUGAGAGGGUGAUCGGCCACACUGGGACUGAGACACGGCCCAGACUCCUACGGGAGGCAGCAGUAGGGAAUCUUCGGCAAUGGACGGAAGUCUGACCGAGCAACGCCGCGUGAGUGAAGAAGGUUUUCGGAUCGUAAAGCUCUGUUGUAAGAGAAGAACGAGUGUGAGAGUGGAAAGUUCACACUGUGACGGUAGCUUACCAGAAAGGGGCGGCUAACUACGUG
rnacentral:rRNA from 1 species